AUAGACCUGGCGGCAUGCUUAACCAUGCAUGUCGAACGGCAGCACGGGAGCAAUCCUGGUUGGCGAGUGGCGAACGGGUGAGUAAUAUAUCGGAACGUGCCCAGUCGUGGGGGAUAACGCAGCGAAAGCUGUGCUAAUACCGCAUACGAUCUACGGAUGAAAGCGGGGGAUCGCAAGACCUCGCGCGAUUGGAGCGGCCGAUAUCAGAUUAGCUAGUUGGUGAGGUAAAGGCUCACCAAGGCGACGAUCUGUAGCUGGUCUGAGAGGACGACCAGCCACACUGGAACUGAGACACGGUCCAGACUCCUACGGGAGGCAGCAGUGGGGAAUUUUGGACAAUGGGCGCAAGCCUGAUCCAGCAAUGCCGCGUGCAGGAUGAAGGCCUUCGGGUUGUAAACUGCUUUUGUACGGAACGAAACGGUGAGCUCUAAUACAGUUUGCUAAUGACGGUACCGUAAGAAUAAGCACCGGCUAACUACGUGCCAGCAGCCGCGGUAAUACGUAGGGUGCGAGCGUUAAUCGGAAUUACUGGGCGUAAAGCGUGCGCAGGCGGUUAUGUAAGACAGAUGUGAAAUCCCCGGGCUCAACCUGGGACCUGCAUUUGUGACUGCAUAGCUAGAGUACGGUAGAGGGGGAUGGAAUUCCGCGUGUAGCAGUGAAAUGCGUAGAU
rnacentral:rRNA from 1 species